GUCGUAAGGGAAAAUAAUGAUAAUACCUUACUAUGAGUGUCGUCCAAAUCUGGUGCCAGAAGACUCGGUAAGACCAGAGACGCAAACGUUAAUCAUCUUAAACAGGCGUAAAGGGUUUGUAGGCAGCUUACAUCAGAAUAUGAUUGCGAAAUAAAGUAGUCUAAUUGAAAGCUAGAAUCAAAAAGAGGUUAUAGUGUAUAACGCCUAGAGGAGGGCUGAUAUCCGUAGAUCCUAGGCAGAAUACUCAGGGCGAAGGCCACUCUCCAUUAAUGAUUGACGCUGAGAAACGAAGGUUAGGGUAGGAAAUAGGAUUAGAUACCCCGGUACUCCUUUCUGUAAACGAUGAAUGGUAGUCAUUAGUUAAAACUAACUAGAGACGAAGUUAACACAAUAACCAUUCCGCCUUGUGAGUACUACU
rnacentral:rRNA from 1 species